rnacentral:rRNA from 2 species
CGCGGCCUAUCAGCUUGUUGGUGGGGUAACGGCCCACCAAGGCAUCGACGGGUAGCUGGUCUGAGAGGACGAUCAGCCACACUGGGACUGAGACACGGCCCAGACUCCUACGGGAGGCAGCAGUGGGGAAUAUUGCGCAAUGGGCGAAAGCCUGACGCAGCAACGCCGCGUGGGGGAUGAAGGCCUUCGGGUUGUAAACCCCUUUCAGCAGGGACGAAAAUGACGGUACCUGCAGAAGAAGCCCCGGCCAACUACGUGCCAGCAGCCGCGGUAACACGUAGGGGGCAAGCGUUGUCCGGAUUUAUUGGGCGUAAAGAGCUCGUAGGCGGUUGCGUAAGUCGGAUGUGAAAACUCAGGGCUCAACCCGGAGACGCCAUCCGAUACUGCGCUGACUAGAGUCCGGUAGAGGAGCAUGGAAUUCCUGGUGUAGCGGUGAAAUGCGCAGAUAUCAGGAGGAACACCAGUGGCGAAGGCGGUGCUCUGGGCCGGUACUGACGCUGAGGAGCGAAAGCGUGGGUAGCGAACAGGAUUAGAUACCCUGGUAGUCCACGCCGUAAACGUUGGGCACUAGGUGUGGGGCCUCCUUAACGGGUUCCGUGCCGUAGCUAACGCAUUAAGUGCCCCGCCUGGGGAGUACGG